AACUUUUGGCAAUGGAUCACUUGGCUCUCCUAUCGAUGAAGAACGCAGCGAAAUGCGAUACGUAAUGUGAAUUGCAGAAUUCAGUGAAUCAUCGAAUCUUUGAACGCAUAUUGCGCUCCCUGGCAUUCCGGGGAGCAUGCCUGUUUCAGUAUCAGUUCUCUAAAGCAAAACUUCCUUUUUUGAGGCAAGUUAAGCUGUAUUGAGUCUUCUCAAAAUAUUUAUUUAGAUUGAGUGACUUGAAAUUGAGAGAACGGCAGUUGUUGGCUCAUUUAAAAUCGGCCUCUGGUGUAAUAUGUAGCCCUAACGGGUCCUACUCCAUUCGCCUCAGGUCGAGAGACAAUUUCUGGCCCGUCAUCUUGUAUUAAAUGUUUGAGCUUCGGCUUGACAUAUUUCUUGAUCUGAAAUCAGGUAAGAUUACCCGCUGAACUUAAGCAUAUCAAUAAGCGGAGGCU
rnacentral:misc_RNA from 1 species